rnacentral:rRNA from 1 species
GAUGAACGCUAGCGGCAGGCCGAACACAUGCAAGUCGAGGGGCAGCAUAAAAUAAACUUGUUUAUUUGGUGGCGACCGGCGCACGGGUGCGUAACGCGUAUGCAACCUACCUUAUACUGGGGAAUAGCCCGAAGAAAUUCGGAUUAAUGCCCCAUAGUACUGAGACCUCUCCUGAGGAUUCAGUUAAAGCUUUGGCGGUAUAAGAUGGGCAUGCGUCCAAUUAGCUAGAUGGUGAGGUAACGGCUCACCAUGGCGACGAUUGGUAGGGGGCCUGAGAGGGUGGUCCCCCACACUGGUACUGAGACACGGACCAGACUCCUACGGGAGGCAGCAGUGAGGAAUAUUGGUCAAUGGGCGCAAGCCUGAACCAGCCAUGCCGCGUGAAGGAUGAGGGUUCUAUGGAUUGUAAACUUCUUUUAUUUGGGAAUAAACCUCUUUACGUGUAGAGAGCUGAAGGUACCAAAUGAAUAAGCACCGGCUAACUCCGUGCCAGCCGCCGCCGUAACAC